rnacentral:rRNA from 1 species
AUUGAACGCUGGCGGCAGGCUUUACACAUGCAAGUCGAACGAGUGGCGGACGGGUGAGUAAUGUAUGGGAAACUGCCCGAUGGAGGGGGGUAACUACUGGAAACGGUAGCUAAUACCGCAUACCAUCGGUCGCGCCCAGAUGGGAUUAGCUUGUAGGUGGGGUAAUGGCUCACCUAGGCGACGAUCCCUAGCUGGUCUGAGAGGAUGACCGGCCACACUGGUACUGAGACACGGCCCAGACUCCUACGGGAGGCAGCAGUGGGGAAUAUUGCACAAUGGACGCAAGCCUGAUGCAGCCAUGCCGCGUGUAUGAAGAAGGCCUUCGGGUUGUAAAGUACUUUCAGCGGGGAGGCGUUACCCGCAGAGGAAGCACCGGCUAACUCCGUGCCAGCAGCCGCGGUAAUUC